rnacentral:pre_miRNA from 1 species
UUGAAGAAGAGAAGACAAGAAAAUGUGAGAGAAAAGGGUAUGGAAAUCAGAGCUCGAAACCAUUUCCAUGGAAAUGGUUUCGAGCUCUGAUUUCCAUACCCUUUUCUCUCACAUUUUCUUGUCUUCUCUUCUUCUCU